rnacentral:lncRNA from 1 species
ACAGGGGAUGCUUGCAGAAUCAGUACCGAAGUCAGAAAUAGAUGGCCAGCAACGUGCAGGCGGAGUAGGAGAUGAUCAUUCAUUAGCCACGGUCUGCAUGGAGGAGAUUAUUCCUAGAAAUGAAAAUGGUCAAGUAUCCUCCUGUAGGUGGGUGAAGCACAGGCCAGAAGUCAGAAGCAACCCCGAAGACUUCCGGCUUUUCUUUUAA